CUGUCGAUCCCCUCUCCGUUCGCCUCCUCCUCUCCCGGGUCGCUGCGCCGCCGGCUCAGCUGGUUCUCCUGCGUCUUAUCCUCCCCGCUCCUCUCCUCGCAGCUGAGUCCUCGACCAGAUCGGCGUCCAUCUUCAGCGGCGGCGGCAUCUUCAGCGGAGGAGGCGGGUGGUCGUGGCGGCGGCAUCUUCAGCGGCGUCGCCGGACGAGCUCCACGCGCGGGGGAGAUAUCUCCACGGGCCCGCGUAACCACGUCCCCUCGCUGACGUCGGCCUCACAAAGAAGAGGUCUAGUCCGCCCGUGCCACCGAGGAGGGGGAGCAGCCGCGCCCGGAGUAGGUCGUCCCCAACGCCUGCAUCUAGUCGUCGACCUUAACUACACUGCAGUCGCCGCUGCUGGUCGAGGUCGCCCAGUUGACACCGGCCCCGCCGGAGUGCAGCUCAUCCUGCCCGAGGACAUGAUAUGGAAAGGGAGGGACGCCGGCGGGUGAUUCCCCCCAUUCUGCCAGGGCCAAGAUGGGGCAGAAGAUGUCAUUGGCGCAUCGAAGGCUCUCUUUGCUUGAUGAUGUCAGUAGCAUCAGUAGGCACAUCGCUGCUGCUGCUGCUGCAGCGGUGGCGGGUGAUGAUGAUGGUGGUGCUUUUGAGCUGAUGGCAAGAACCUUCAUGGAACCAUCUGAUCUCAUAUGUCUGCAUUCAGGCACGUCUAUUCUUCCAGGAUUCAGAGUAUCAAACGCAUGUUCUCAUACAUCAACAAGAAUAAAUAUAGGAAGCCGCUUUUAUCAGUUAGUUAGUUAGUUAGUUAGUUAGUUGGUUGGUUGGUUGGUUGGUUGGUCGGUCGAUGAAUCGAGCAUUGGGAAAGCUCAAGUACGGAGAUUGUUAUGAGGCAAAUUCAGUACUCCUUUUUUUUCUCAACCAUUUCAUUUGCCUUCUCUCUUUUCUUUCUGAAUCUUCGGUCACGCUUACCUUGUGGAACCGUCAGACAAACUGAAAAUGAACUGCUUAUGUUUUUUCUUAUAGGGCUCAUUAGUACUGCAGCAAGUAGUACAAGUACACAGUGACCGCAUAGCAUCCUCCAUGUUAUUAGACUAUAUUAUCUAUAUAUUUUUUUAUCUUUACUAAUUUUGAACUUCUCGUGACGCGAUAAUAAAAAUUUGGCAAUUGUAGGAUGAGGAGUUCGCUGCUGAUGUUCCUCAGAAAAAUACAGGAAUUUGUGACAGCAAUGACGACUUUGUUCCAUUGAUAUGGCUGUCAAGAACUCCAAUGGCAUUGACAUAGCCAAUCUGAUGAAGCACUCGGCAGAGAACCGCGGGAUCAAGGGCUUCGACGGAGGCGACGCCGUCGACCUGAUCUCGCUGCUCACGGAAGAGUGUGACGUGCUCAUCCCGGCAGCUCUGGGAGGAGUCAUAAACAAUGUGAGAAGGCAGGCCGUCCCAACGUGCCGGUGGCGGAGGGCAGCGCCGAGCCUCUCAAGGGACAAUGUUGAUGCCAUCAAAGCGAAGUACAUCAUCGAGGCUGCUAACCACCCAACAGACCCCGAGGCCGACGAGGCAAGAACACCAACAUUUUGCCACAAAACUAAGCUGCAUUUGUUGACGCAUUUCACACGUUGACUUAUAGUAGAGAAAUGUACAUGUUCAUGGUGCAGAGAAGGGUGUGCUGGUCCUAGCAGACAUCAUGGCCAACUCCGGCGGAGUGAUGGUGAGCUACUUCGAGUGGGUGCAGAACAUCGAGGUGUUCAUGUGGGACGAGGAGAAGGUGAAUCGGGAGCUCAAGACGUACAUGACCCGCGCCUCAAACAUAGUUCUGAUUAUUUAGGCAAUGAGAGGCUGGCAUUUGAUAAUACGGUUCUGUGUGUGCAUUGACUGCUGGUGCUGCAGCCUGAAUUUUUUCUUGUGGAGUGGAGCGAAGUAAUCCAUCAAGCUAGCUGCAUUAUUGAUUCUGUUAUUUUUGCUGGCGAGGUAAUAAUCUCCCACUCAACUCGUGAUGUGAGAGAUAGUAGUGUAACCAUGAUAUUUACAUCAUUGCUCAUGUGUUCUAUAUGCUAUGAUUUUUCUUCCUUAAUUACCCUGCCUCAGCCAUAAUCAUCAUGCAUUUGUAAGUAGUCACUUAUGGUAGUGUUUUAAAUGUAAGGAUACUCCGAUGCAGAUAGGUUUGGAUCAGAUGGUGCAAAUGAUAGAAGUGGAACAUGCAGCUCAUUAGCUGUUUUUUUAAGAACCAAUGAAAAGUCAAGCAUUUGGAUGGACAUAAGUGUACAAAUAAUAUGCAAAAACAUCAGAACAUAAGUGUAGUCUUUAAUUCAAAGAACAUGCUAUGAAGAUCAAUCAUUUGGAACUGCCCUUGAAGUGCCUCUCCGUGUAGCCCAUUCAUGGCUGUACGAAUGGGCUGGACACGGUGUUUGAUGGUUUGCGUUUGCAUCUUUUCAACUCCACUUGUUUAGCGAUAGUCUCAGUGUCAAAUUGUUGUUUCACUACUAGGAGGGGCAUUCUUCCUCGGGCGUCCACGUUUACACUUUGGGGCACCGGAUGUCUCUGGUUUGUUUGUAACAUCAGGGUUGAUGACAAUCGUGACGUUGUUGUCUGCACCUUUUCGUUCCUAUGUAAUGUUGGCUUCGUACUCGUCCUUCUGUAGAGGAAAUAGUGGUGCGUUACAUUCAAUCAUGAAAGGUAGGAACUACAUGACAUGAAAUGCUAGUUGUGUAGAACUUACCGUUAUAGGAUUCUUGUAUGAUUUUUUCCGAAGCUUGUGAUUACUGAUUAAUGAGUAUGCCACAUUCAAUGUUGGAGUGUUAAAUUUAGAAAAUAUGAAUUUUCUUGGAAAUCAAUGUUAAAUUUAGCACUUCAAGUACUCCUCGUCUGGACCCCGACUACCGGUAGUUAACGGUGAUUCGGACUUGGACUACCGUUAAUGCUGAGUCCGAACGAGUAAGGCCGGUAGUUGUGGGCCAUCCACUACAAGUAGUACUAUGACCAUGGCUCUUCACGUCUAGUACUACGGGUCCUCCGGAUACAUCACUAACACCACGAGUCGUCUGAUACUACCAGUACCACUGUUUGAUCCCUGGAUCCCUUUUAGCACAAAGGGUCAUCCGGAAAUGCUAACAUCAUGAGUCGUCCCCAACGAGUAAGGCCGAUUCUCAUGACAACACUUGGCUAUCACCAGUAUGUGUAUCCCGAACCAAAAACUAUGUUCACAUGGUGGCCAGCUGGGCGGUCCCACCAAUAGCACUUCAAGUACUCCUCGUCAUAAAAUGUUGCAUGCUUUAGAAGGGCUAAAGAAAUGUCAUUUGUACAUUGUCAAGAAUUGUGCAUUCUCAGAUGAUGCACAAUUCUCAUAUGAUAGUGACGAUGACAUGUAUGAACAGGACAUGUCUGAGGAAGACAUAUAUUCGUGUGGGUACAUGGAUAUGGGCGAGAGGAACAUGGGCGAAUAUGGGUCAUCGCCCAAAAGGAAGAAACUUGCAGAUAACAAUCCGAAGAAGGCAUUGCUUUUCGGCAGCAGUGACGAGCCUCUUUUGUAGGCUUUUGGUUUUUCUACAAUUUCAAGCUUUAGAGCUGAAUUAUUGUCCCAAGUAGUGUUCAUAUUAUUUCCGAACCAACAAUCACUUCAUUCAAGUGACAAUUGUGAGACUAUGUUUACAAUAAUAGGCUUUCAACUUUGAGUUGUUGCUCAAUUUUUAGAUGAAAGGUUCCUUUGA